rnacentral:rRNA from 1 species
CGGAGAAUGUUAUCACGGGAGACACACGGCGGGUGCUAACGUCCGUCGUGAAGAGGGAAACAACCCAGACCGCCAGCUAAGGUCCCAAAGUCAUGGUUAAGUGGGAAACGAUGUGGGAAGGCCCAGACAGCCAGGAUGUUGGCUUAGAAGCAGCCAUCAUUUAAAGAAAGCGUAAUAGCUCACUGGUCGAGUCGGCCUGCGCGGAAGAUGUAACGGGGCUAAACCAUGCACCGAAGCUGCGGCAGCGACGCUGAUGCGUUGUUGGGUAGGGGAGCGUUCUGUAAGCCUGCGAAGGUGGCCUGUGAGGGUUGCUGGAGGUAUCAGAAGUGCGAAUGCUGACAUAAGUAACGAUAAAGCGGGUGAAAAGCCCGCUCGCCGGAAGACCAAGGGUUCCUGUCCAACGUUAAUCGGGGCAGGGUGAGUCGACCCCUAAGGCGAGGCCGAAAGGCGUAGUCGAUGGGAAACGGGUUAAUAUUCCCGUACUUGGUGUUACUGCGAAGGGGGGACGGAGAAGGCUAUGUUGGCCGGGCGACGGUUGUCCCGGUUUAAGCGUGUAGGUGUGUGUUCCAGGUAAAUCCGGUUCACUUUAACACUGAGGCGUGA